GACGAACGCUGGCGGCGUGCUUAACACAUGCCAGUCGAACGGAAAGGCCCUGCUUUUGUGGGGUGCUCGAGUGGCGAACGGGUGAGUAACACGUGAGUAACCUGCCCUUGACUUUGGGAUAACUUCAGGAAACUGGGGCUAAUACCGGAUAGGAGCUCCUGCUGCAUGGUGGGGGUUGGAAAGUUUCGGCGGUUGGGGAUGGACUCGCGGCUUAUCAGCUUGUUGGUGGGGUAGUGGCUUACCAAGGCUUUGACGGGUAGCCGGCCUGAGAGGGUGACCGGCCACAUUGGGACUGGGAUACGGCCCGGACUCCAACGGGAGGCAGCAGUGGGGAAUAUUGCACAAUGGGCGGAAGCCUGAUGCAGCAACGCCGCGUGCGGGAUGACGGCCUUCGGGUUGUAAACCGCUUUCGCCUGUGACGAAGCGUGAGUGACGGUAAUGGGUAAAGAAGCACCGGCUAACUACGUG
rnacentral:rRNA from 1 species